rnacentral:pre_miRNA from 1 species
UUGAAGAAUUUGGAGACUUCAACUUGUAUACUUGAAGAAUUUGGAGACUUCAACUUGUAUACUUGGAGAACUUGAAGGCUUCAACU